GGCGUUAAGUUGCAGGGUAUAGACCCGAAACCCGGUGAUCUAGCCAUGGGCAGGUUGAAGGUUGGGUAACACUAACUGGAGGACCGAACCGACUAAUGUUGAAAAAUUAGCGGAUGACCUGUGGCUGGGGGUGAAAGGCCAAUCAAACCGGGAGAUAGCUGGUUCUCCCCGAAAGCUAUUUAGGUAGCGCCUCGUGAAUUCAUCUCCGGGGGUAGAGCACUGUUUCGGCUAGGGGGCCAUCCCGGCUUACCAACCCGAUGCAAACUGCGAAUACCGGAGAAUGUUAUCACGGGAGACACACGGCGGGUGCUAACGUCCGUCGUGAAGAGGGAAACAACCCAGACCGCCAGCUAAGGUCCCAAAGUCAUGGUUAAGUGGGAAACGAUGUGGGAAGGCCCAGACAGCCAGGAUGUUGGCUUAGAAGCAGCCAUCAUUUAAAGAAAGCGUAAUAGCUCACUGGUCGAGUCGGCCUGCGCGGAAGAUGUAACGGGGCUAAACCAUGCACCGAAGCUGCGGCAGCGAACGUAUCACUUAAAGCGAUUCAGCGGGUUACGAUUGACGGAGCGAAGCGACGUCAAAGCGUAUACAAAGUCGAGUCGGUUUAAGGAUACGUUCGUUGGGUAGGGGAGCGUUCUGUAAGCCUGCGAAGGUGGCCUGUGAGGGUUGCUGGAGGUAUCAGAAGUGCGAAUGCUGACAUAAGUAACGAUAAAGCGGGUGAAAAGCCCGCUCGCCGGAAGACCAAGGGUUCCUGUCCAACGUUAAUCGGGGCAGGGUGAGUCGACCCCUAAGGCGAGGCCGAAAGGCGUAGUCGAUGGGAAACGGGUUAAUAUUCCCGUACUUGGUGUUACUGCGAAGGGGGGACGGAGAAGGCUAUGUUGGCCGGGCGACGGUUGUCCCGGUUUAAGCGUGUAGGUGUGUGUUCCAGGUAAAUCCGGUUCACUUUAACACUGAGGCGUGACGACGAGGCACUACGGUGCUGAAGCAACAAAUGCCCUGCUUCCAGGAAAAGCCUCUAAGCAUCAGGUAACAUCAAAUCGUACCCCAAACCGACACAGGUGGUCAGGUAGAGAAUACCAAGGCGCUUGAGAGAACUCGGGUGAAGGAACUAGGCAAAAUGGUGCCGUAACUUCGGGAGAAGGCACGCUGACACGUAGGUGAAGUGAUUUACUCAUGGAGCUGAAGUCAGUCGAAGAUACCAGCUGGCUGCAACUGUUUAUUAAAAACACAGCACUGUGCAAACACGAAAGUGGACGUAUACGGUGUGACGCCUGCCCGGUGCCGGAAGGUUAAUUGAUGGGGUCAGCGCAAGCGAAGCUCCUGAUCGAAGCCCCGGUAAACGGCGGCCGUAACUAUAACGGUCCUAAGGUAGCGAAAUUCCUUGUCGGGUAAGUUCCGACCUGCACGAAUGGCGUAAUGAUGGCCAGGCUGUCUCCACCCGAGACUCAGUGAAAUUGAACUCGCUGUGAAGAUGCAGUGUACCCGCGGCAAGACGGAAAGACCCCGUGAACCUUUACUAUAGCUUGACACUGAACAUUGAGCCUUGAUGUGUAG
rnacentral:rRNA from 1 species